rnacentral:misc_RNA from 1 species
AAGUCGUAACAAGGUAACCGUAGGUGAACCUGCGGUUGGAUCAUUAUUGGAACGCGCUUUUUGGAGUGCAUCGACCAUGUGCAUUUUUAGUACUUGAUACGUGAUUGAGAGUGCUCGUACGUGCUCACGACAAUACAAUAAACUGAGAAGCAAAUCAAAACAACUUUUGACAACGGAUCUCUUGGCUCUC